rnacentral:rRNA from 1 species
AGUGAACGCUGGCGGCAUGCUUUACACAUGCAAGUCGAACGGCAACACACUGAGAGGUUGUGACGACUGGCGGACGGGGGCGUAAUGGAGCGGAAUGUGCCGAGACCUAGUGGUUAGCGACUGGUAAGGGAAGCAAACACCCCAUACGAUCGAUUAAGGAAUACGGGGGACAGCAAGGGAUCGUGCGACUUGGCGGGCCUGUGUGAGACGAUGUAGGAUUUGGUGGUUGGGGGGGUAAAGCCAAACCAAGGCGACGAUCCGUAGCUGGUCUGAGAGGAGGAUCAGCCACACUGGAACUGAGACACGGCCCAGACUCCUACGGGAGGCAGAAGUGGGGAAUUUUGGACAAUGGGCGCAAGCCUGAUCCAGCAAUGCCGCGUGCGGGAAGAAGGCCUUCGGGUUGUAAAGUCCUUUUGUACGGAAAGAAACGGAUCUGGUUAAUACCCGGCGGUAAUGACGGUACCGAAAGAAUAAGCACCGGCUAACUACGUG